rnacentral:rRNA from 1 species
GAUGAACGCUGGCGGCGUGCCUAAUACAUGCAAGUCGAGCGAACAGACGAGGAGCUUGCUCCUCUGACGUUAGCGGCGGACGGGUGAGUAACACGUGGAUAACCUACCUAUAAGACUGGGAUAACUUCGGGAAACCGGAGCUAAUACCGGAUAAUAUAUUGAACCGCAUGGUUCAAUAGUGAAAGACGGUUUUGCCGUCACUUAUAGAUGGAUCCGCGCCGCAUUAGCUAGUUGGUAAGGUAACGGCUUACCAAGGCGACGAUGCGUAGCCGACCUGAGAGGGUGAUAGGCCACACUGGAACGGAGACACGGUCCAGACUCCUAAGGGAGGCAGCAGUAGGGAAUCUUCCGCAAUGGGCGAAAGCCUGACGGAGCAACGCCGCGUGAGUGAUGAAGGUCUUCGGAUCGUAAAACUCUGUUAUUAGGGAAGAACAAAUGUGUAAGUAACUAUGCACGUCUUGACGGUACCUAAUCAGAAAGCCACGGCUAACUACGUG